rnacentral:lncRNA from 1 species
GCGUGUACAUAUAUGUGGUUAUUUGUAUAAGUGCCAAAUGAAGUAAUUAAAUUUCGUUUACGCGUACAUAUGUAAUUUGAAGUCCAGUGUGUCACAAUACAUAAUUAUUCAUCCCUUGUCCGUAAUCUAUUUCAGUGCAAUAGCAUGAAAACCACAUAGACACCUACAUACAUAAAAUGUAAAGAAAUAAAGUAGUCCAUAGGUUUAUCCUUACACCUUUAAUAUCU